rnacentral:rRNA from 1 species
UAUGCUUAACACAUGCAAGUCGAACGGGUUAAUUAGGGCUUGCUCUAAUUAGCUAGUGGCAAACGGGUGAGUAACACGUGGGAAUCUGCCCAUCAGUACGGAAUAACUUUUAGAAAUAAAAGCUAAUACCGUAUAUUCUCUAAGGAGGAAAGAUUUAUCGCUGAUGGAUGAGCCCGCGUCAGAUUAGGUAGUUGGUGGGGUAAUGGCCCACCAAGCCAACGAUCUGUAGCUGGUCUGAGAGGAUGAUCAGCCACACUGGGACUGAGACACGGCCCAGACUCCUACGGGAGGCAGCAGUGGGGAAUAUUGGACAAUGGGCGAAAGCCUGAUCCAGC